rnacentral:tRNA from 1 species
CCAUGUCUAGCUCAAUUGGUAGAGCACAAGGCUCUAAACCUUGUGGUCAUGAGUUCCAAUUUUAUUGUGUGGG